CGCUCCUGGAGGGGUGCAGACUUCCGACCUCAGCACACUUUGGCAACUGAGCAAUGCAGCGGCCCACAGAUCACUUCCUCUCUCCACCCUGCCUGACUCGCUAUAAAGGGGGUUGGGGAGGCCUGCGUGUUGCUGUGAGAUUAAGUAAGCAGUGCAGUCUGGUGCAUACUCUCUGCUCUAUGAAUGAUCGCAUAAGUGUUGAUAUCGACACUCAAUUUUUGUUAUGAGCCAAGAAAGGCGCAGACCUCUAAAAGCAACAGAGUGCUUCUAUAGUAGAUUUUUAAAAGCAGAUUCUGGAGCCAAAUUCCCUGGGUCCAAUUCCUAGCCCUGCAUUUGUAACUCACCCCAUCUGUAAAAUGGGGGUAAUAGAGUACCUAUCAGCACAGGGCUGUUGGGGAGGUUAAAUAAAUAUAUGUAAAGCACAAGUAAGGGUUCUCUAAGCUUUAGCAGCUUUCAUCACCACUGCCGCCACGAUCACCAUGACAACCACCAGCGCCAGCACCUUCAUCAUUGUCUGCUUGAAGGAGUCACAAUCAACUCCUCAGAAAUUGUUUUCCUCUCAAAUUAAAAUUCUAACAACAGUUGAGUAGAAUGGAAAGUGCAUUCGAGCUACAAUGAUACUGGACAAUGACAGCCUGGUUUUUCUGUUCCUCGUGACUUGUGUGGGUCUCUGCCUGAGCUCACGAGAAGGCCACCCACCCCCUGGCUGUACCCCUGCUGGGGGACAGAUGUGCCUGCAGCUCUUGGGGAUUAGGAAGAAGAACCACGGAGCAGAAACAGUGGGGACUGGCAAUCAUCGAAGAAACAGUGGGAAGUUUCCUCCUGUCCAAAGCCUCACGGAGUGGCCGCUGUCACUGAGGGCUAUCUGGCUGUGCGCUCCUCUCCCCUGAUAAUGGUGGCCAAACGUGGGGGCUUGGCCUCCCCACCGGCCUGGACCUGCGGAGCCGGAGCCCUCAUUCUGAGUCUGGGGGGACUUCAGCGACUUCACGCAGCGGUCACCGCAGAACCUCGCUGGGUGGUGCAGCAGGGUACCCGGCCAAUGACUGCACCUGGCCGCACCUGCCUCCACCAGAGCCCCAGCGGUGGACCGAGAACACCUGCUGCGAUGCUGCCCCCCAGCCUCACACUGGAAGCGCGGGUGCAGAGAAUCGGGGGCGCCCGCUGCACCGGCUUGGCCAUCGGCACUUUCCCAGCCCGGGCUCAGUGUUAUUGAUAAGCCAAACUUCAUGAAACCUGGACAUAACGAGAAACC
rnacentral:lncRNA from 1 species